UGGGGAAUAUUGCACAAUGGGGGAAACCCUGAUGCAGCCAUGCCGCGUGUGUGAAGAAGGCUCUAGGGUUGUAAAGCACUUUCAAUUGGGAGAAAAAGCUGGCGACUAAUACUUGUCAGUCUUGAUGUUACCUUUAGAAGAAGCACCGGCUAACUCCGUGCCAGCAGCCGCGGUAAUACGGAGGGUGCAAGCGUUAAUCGGAAUUACUGGGCGUAAAGCGCGCGUAGGCGGUUUGGUCAGUUGGAUGUGAAAGCCCCGGGCUUAACCUGGGAACUGCAUUCAAUACUGCCAGACUUGAGUACGAGAGAGGGGGGUAGAAUUUCUAGUGUAGCGGUGAAAUGCGUAGAUAU
rnacentral:rRNA from 1 species